UUAAAAAUCGAAGCAAGAAUCGGAGCCUUUUGGAACGAUCACACCCCGUACCAUCCGAAGAAUUAUCCGGAGAACCUCGACUGCGUCUAUCAAUUUGUCAGGACGAAUCCGAAUUUGUGUGGAGUGCGGAUGAAGACGAUCAAGUUCGAUUUGCAGUCGCCCAUGGACACGCCGUUUGGUGGCGCUUGAUCCGAUUUCUUCCACAUGCCUUCCUGUGGUUUUCUCUGCGGGAAAAUGGAGUUCUCCUGGUUCGCUCGGUAACAACCUGGCGCAACAAGUCUGGAAUUCCAUUUUCAUUCGGACGAGUCUGUGGGCUUGACUGGAUUCCUCAUAUCUUUUGAGCAAGUCUACAAUUGUUGAACGCCACGGUAUUAUUAUGCGAACCAGUGAAAAAGAGUUGGAUUGCUGGAGCUCAACCAUCCCCUUCUUCCUCAGUCGGAUCAAUCUUCCUCAUCCGAACCUACCUCUACUCCACCAACUGCAUCUUUCUAUACCACUAAGCACUAACUAACCUGCCUCUUUCACUAUCAUUUCUGUCGCAAUCUCUUCUCCACCUGUAACCAUCAAACUCGAUCCCCUUUCUCUUCUAGAUCCUCUUUUGUUACCAUUCUUUAGCAUUUUUCUUUCCUUUCAACA